GACGAACGCUGGCGGCGGGUCUAACACAUAGCAAGUCGAGAGAGACGAACCAAGUGCUUGCACUUGGGAGAAACCGGCGAACGGGUGAGUAACACGUGAGGAACCUGCCCUGUACACCGGGAUAACUACGGGAAACCGUGGCUAAUACCGGAUGCUCCACCGAGAUCGCAUGGUCUUGGUGGGAAAGCUCAGGCGGUACAGGAGGGCCUCGCGGCGUAUCAGCUAGUUGGUGGGGUAAUGGCCCACCAAGGCUACGACGCGUAGCUGGAGUGAGAGCUCGAACAGCCACACUGGGACUGAGACACGGCCCAGACUCCUACGGGAGGCAGCAGUGGAGAAUCUUGCGCAAUGGGCGAAAGCCUGACGCAGCCACGCCGCGUGCGGGAAGAAGGCCUUCGGGUCGUAAACCGCUUUCAGGAGGGAAGAAGCGAAAGUGACGGUACCUCCAGAAGAAGGCCCGGCUAACUACGUGCCAGCAGCCGCGGUAAUACGUAGGGGCCGAGCGUUGUCCGGAUUUAUUGGGCGUAAAGCGCAUGUAGGCGGCCUUGUA
rnacentral:rRNA from 1 species